AUUGAACGCUGGCGGCAGGCCUAACACAUGCAAGUCGAACGGAUGAAGGGUGCUUGCUCCUGGAUUCCGCGUCGCACGGGUGAGUAAUGCCUAUGAAUCUGCCUGCUUUUGGUUUAUAACGUCCUCAAACGGGCGCUAAUACCGCAUACUUCCUGCUGGAGCAAGUUGGUGAUCUUCGGACCUCACGCUCUCAGAUGAUCCUAGGUCGGAUUAGCUAGUUGGUGGGGUAAAGGCCUACUAAGCCGACGAUCCGUAACUGGUCUGAGAGGAUGAUCAGUCACACUGGAAGUGAGACACGGUCAAGGGUCCUAAGGGAGGCAGCAGUGGGGAACAUGGGACAGUGGGCGGAAGCAUGACCCAGUCAGGGCGCGCGUGUGAAGGAGGUGUUCGGAGUGUAAAGAACGUUAAGGGGGGAGGAAGGGCAGUAGGUUAAGACCAUGCUGUUGUGACGUUAAUAACAGAAUAAGCACCGGCUAACUACGUG
rnacentral:rRNA from 1 species